GGCCCUUUGACCUCUCCAUAGGCUCUCACCCUGGUGAGCAGUCAAGGAUUACCAGUGAUGUUGACCAUGUCCACCAGAUCAGCCUAUACCACCAUCUUUACCACAGAUGUUGUGCUAAAACCAAGACAGUCCACAACCACUGUUCCAGCCCAGCCCCACUGCUUCACGUCCUGUGGCCCUGAGCCACAAGCACACCCACAGUUCAUUCUCUCCACCGCCUCUGUACUGCUGGUUUUACAUCAACUUGACACAAGCUAGAGUCAUCAGAGAGGAAGGAGCCUCAGGUGAGGAAAUGCCUCCAGGAGAUCCAGCUCUAAGGCAUUUUCUCAAUUAGUGACCAACCAGCCUAUGGUGGGUUUUGUCAUCCCUGGGCUGGUGGUCCUGGGUUCUGUAAGAAAGCAGGCUGAGCAAGUCAGGGGAAGCAAGUCGGUCAGUAGCACUCCUCCAUGGCCUCUGCAUCAACUCCUGCCCUGUUUGAGGUCCUGUCCUGACUUCCCUUGGUGAUGAACAACAAUGUGGAAGUGUGAGCCAAACCGACCCUUUCCUCCCCUUCAUGGUGUUUGGCUGCAGCAAUAGAAACCCUGACUAGGACACCCUCACAGCCAAGCCCUCCUCAGCCCGUCCUUUCCUUAAGUUACCAGCCCCCUCCUCUCUCUCUCUUUGAACCCCUGCUUCCCAUCUAAUCCCCCAGCAUAUUUACAGAGUCCAGCUAGAUCACCAUGGUGGAGGCUCUCAUCCAAGUGUCUCACAGUACCCUUGAGUUGUGCUCAGUACUUCUGGAAUGAGCAAACCUAGGCUGGGCAGACUGGGAAUGGCAGAAUUUGAAAUGUUCUUUGGGAGUUCAUCUAAUUCCUAUGUCUGGCCACAGGCACCCUCUCUCCACUCCCAGUUCACACCCUGUCAGUCAACCUAGAGAGAUUUGGAGCAGGUCUGUCUUCUUGGUAGGCAGGGAAGAGAGGCUCCACAGUUACAGACACCAUGCACAGCACAGCACUCUCCAGGGUGCUUAAUGGUCCAUGAAGGUAUCUGGAAGUAGGACCCUUCCAGGAAGUACAAACAAAAUGUCAUAGCAAAGAGAACCCACAAGACAGGCAGAAUGGCCUAUCGCGCCCUAGCCAUGCCCCAAAGCCACAGUCGUGGUCAGUGGCUACAGCAGUAGUGAGAAGAACAGGUGAGCCGCAUCCACUUCUGUAGAAUUGAAAGGGCCUUCGUGACAUUCUUCCAAGCUGUAACGGAUGUGCUGCUAGUCUAGGAACAGAGCUCUGCCAGCCAGAGCUCAAGAAGGGUCACAAGUGACAUGGACACUAGGUCAUGCUGCUCUCUGUACUCAGUGUAAUAAGAAGACAUAGGAUUGGCUGACUUCUGCCAUGCCUUUCUGCUUUUAAAACCCAGUGCCAGGCUGGGCGGCGGUGGCACACGCCUUUAAUCCCAGCACUCAGGAGGCAGAGGCAGGCAGAUCUCUGUGAGUUCGAGGCCAGCCUGGUCUACAGAGUGAGAUCCAGGACAGGCACCAAAACUACAUAGAGAAACCCUGUCUCAAAAAACAAAACAAAACAAAACAAAACAAAAAACCCAAAACCCAGUGCCUUGGGGACUGUGGAGAUGACUGAGUCAGAAAGGUGCUUGCCGUCCAAGCAGGAGGACCUGAACUCAAUUCUUAGCACCCAUAGCUGGGUAUGGGAUUUGCGCUUAUAAUCCCAGCACCAAGAAGGCAGAGACAGGCAGAUCCCUGGGGCUCAGUGGCCAGCCAGCCUAGCCUAGACACGGGUCCCAGUGGGAGAUUUUGUCCCAGAAAACAAAGUGGAUGGCACUCAAGGAACAAUACUUGAGGCUGACUUACACACACACACACACACACACACACACACACACACACACACACACGAGAGAGAGAGAGAGAGAGAGAGAGAGAGAGAGAGAGAGAGAGAGAGAGUCAGACAGACAGAGAGAAUGGUAAAAUGUGAGAGAAGCCUUCAAUGUUAAGGAGAUAGGUAGGUGCUGUGGGGGAGGGAGUCUAUGAGACGGAACAGCCUGGAAACUGAGAGUCACUGUUAGGGAGGUUUGUAAUACAGAAGAGCCCGGGGGCUAGUGCGGAGCUGUGAUACGCGUUACAGGUAAGUGCUAACAGGGGCUAGUGCGGAGCUGUGAUACGUGUUACAGGUAAGUGCUAACAGGGGCUAGUGCGGAGCUGUGAUACACGUUAUAGGUAAGUGCUAACAGGGGCUAGUGCGGAGCUGUGAUACGUGUUACAGGUAAGUGCUAACAGGGGCUAGUGCGGAGCUGUGAUACACGUUACAGGUAAGUGCUAACGGGCUAGUGCGGAGCUGUGAUACACGUUACAGGUAAGUGCUAACAGGGGCUAGUGCGGAGCUGUGAUACGCGUUACAGGUAAGUGCUAAUAGGGAACUAAGUGCUCCAUUCAUCUGAUGUAGGGGCAAGUAAGGGAGGGAGUGGAUGUGGUAGUUUGAUUGAGAAUGGCCCCCACAGACUCAUAUAUUUGAAUGCCUAGUCACCAGGGAGUGGCACAAUUUGAAAGGAUGAGGAGGUGUGGCUUUGGUGGAGGAAGUGUGUCACUGGGGGUGUAUCACUGGCUUUGAGGAUUCAAAAGCCCCAGCCAAACCCAGUGUCUCCCUCUCUGUCUAUGGAUCAGGGUACAGCUCUCAACGACUUCUCCAGCACCAUGCCUGCCAUACCUGCUGCCAUGCUUCCUACCAUGAUGAUAAUGAACUAAACCUCUGAAACUAUAAGCCAGACCUAAUUAAAUGCUUUCUUGUGUAAGAGUGGCCUUGGUCAUGGUGUCUCUUCACAGCAAUAGAACAGUGACUAAGACAGAAGUUGGUACCAGGGAGAAGGCUUUGCUGUGACAGGCCUGAACCAUGCUGCUUGUGGCAGAAUGUGGACUUUGGACUUUGGAUUAGGAAAAGAGUUGAAUGCUUCAAGCAGGGCUUAAUGGGCCAUCCUAGUAAGAGAAUGGAAGACAGUGCUGAGGGCAGUUUGAAUGGUGGGGUGCCCAGCUCAAGAAGUUUCAGGGGAGAAGAAUAUAUUGGCAUGUGACUUAGAGAUCACUCUUGGGAUAUUUUCACAAAGAAUGUGGCUGCUUUUUGUCCUUGUCCAAAAAAGUCUGCCUGAGGCUAAAUAGAAGAGUUUUUGGAUUAAUGGUGUUGGCAGAGGAGAUUUCAAAACAGCCUAGUAUUGACAAUGUCAUGUGUGGUCACUGUUAUGCAGAUGAAUAAUAAAAAGGUGCAGGCUAAGAAAGGAAAAAUACAAAAUGUACAGUUUGAGGAGAAAAGGAGCAGUAGGAAGUAUAAUGGAGCUAAAUCCUGUGCUCAAGAUGAUAAAAAGAUUAAAGAAAAGCCUGAUGCUAAAUGGAAUAAAAGGAGUGGUGGCCUCAGGAAAAGACUCCACUCAGCUAAGCUUCCAACUUGUGACAGAGAAUGAAAAAACAGCUUAAGUUACCAUGAAGAAACCAUCUAAAACAGAAAGCUGAUGAAAAUAUAAUUGAUUGAGGGCCAAGUUCUAGUCCAGCAAGCAGAAGAAUGUGGCAGCUUCGGCCACAUGGUUCUGGCUCUAGAGUGAAGGAUACAAGAAAGGAGUUGUGGAAUCUCUCUCCAUGGCUAAGGAAGCCACUGAGGUCAGAUGUGUGUCAGGGGUGUCCCUAAAUGGAGGCCUAGAGAGGCCAUUGUAUGAAGCUGUGAAGGAAACCUGGAUUGCCUUGGAGAUUCCAUGAUGUUAGAGAUGCCAGAGCCAUGGGAUACCUUCUGAAGAAAGCUGCUAACAGUGAGUGGAACCAGCCCAAGAGAGAGAAGUGUUUGGUAGUCAACAAAGCUAAAAAGGUGUUGGAGAUCUGAAGAGCGCUUUGACAUCAGACAUGGAAAUGCAGAGUUUGGAGUUUGUUCUGCUGGCUUUCAGUCUUGCUCUCGUCCAGUAUUUUCUCACUAUGCUCCUUUUCCACCCUUUUGGAAUGCUAAUGUAUAUUCUGUGCCAUCAUAUGAAUUUUAUAACGGGAGGUUACAGUUGAGAGCAUGUCAUGAGUCUCAGAAGAGACUUUGAAUUUUUAAGCAGUGUUGAGACUGUUAUAGACUAUGGGGACUUUUGAAGAUAGACUGAAAGCUUUUCUGCACAUGAUGGCUACAAGCCUAUGGGGGCCAGGGAGUGGAAUGUGGUGAUUUAAUAAGAAUGGCCUCCAUAGGCUCAUCUAUUUGAAUGCUUAGUCAUCAGGGAGUGGCACUACUUAGAAGGAUUAGUAGGUGUGGCUUUGUUGGAGGAAGUGUGUCACUGGGGGUGGGCUUAGAGGUUUCAGAAGCCUAAGCCAGGCCCAGUCUUUCUCUCUUCCUGCUGCCUGCUGAUCUGGAUGUAGAACUCUCAGCUACUUCUCCAGCACCAUGUCUGCCUGAGUGUUGUCAUGCUCCCCAACAUGAUGAUAAUGGACUAAACCUCUGAAACUGUAAGCAAGCCCCAAUUAAGUGCUUCCUCUUAUAAGAGUUGCCUUAGUCAUGGUGUCUCUUCACAGCAAUGGAAUAGUAACUAAGACAGAGCAUAAGUGUGAAAUGGAAUCUUAACCACCCACAAAAAUUAGCUCAAAAUGGGUCAGGGAUUGAAAUGUGAGAGUUAAAAUUAUAAACUCAAACACAAAGCAAAAGCUUCAUGAUGUUUGGAUUAGAAAAGGUCCUUAGAUGUGACAACACAGCCACAUGUACCCAACUGAAAGUAGACAAAAUCAACUUCACAGAAAUUUAAAAUAUUAUGCAUCAAAGCAUGCAACCAACAGAGAAAAGCAAUCCACAAAAUGUGAGAAAAUACUUGCAAACCAUACAUUAGACGGGGUGGUGGGGGGAGUGGUAGAAUUCAUAUCUAGAACACAGACACUCCUAAAACUAAACAACCACCUCUUGAUUAAAAAGUCAGUCCACUAGGGAGCAGCAAGAUGAUUCAGUGGGUGUGAAUGCUUAGUCAUCAGGGAGGGGCAUUACUUGAGAAAGAUUAGGAGGUGUGGCCUUGCUAAAGGAAGUGUGUCACUGGGGGUGUGGCCUUGCUGGAGGAAGUGUGUCACUAGGGGUGUGUUUAGACGUGUCAAGAGCCCAAGCCAGGCCCAGUAUUUCUUCCUGCUGCCUGCCGAUCUGGAUGUAGAACUCUCAGCUACUUCUCCAGCACCAUGUCUGCCUGCUGCCAUGCUCCCUGCCAUGAUGAUAAUGGACUAAACCUCUAAAACUGUAAGCCAGCCCCAAUGAAAUGCUUUCUUUUAUAGGAGUUGCUGUGGUCAUGGUGUCUCUUCACAGCAAUGGAACACUAAGACAGCACAUAAAGAUGUUUGUUACUAAACCUGACAAAUUGAGUUCAGUUCCCCCAAAACCCACAAAAUAGAAAGAGAACUGACUCCCAAACUUGUUUUUUGGACCUCCACACAUGUACUGUGGCAUGCUUGCAUGCACACAAGAACAAACAGGUAUGGAAUGCUUGUGUGUGUGUGUUUUAUACACACAACAAAAUAAAUUCAAUAAGUGAACAAACAACUUGAGUAGACCAUGUACCAAACAUACAUGAAUGGUUGAUAAACAUGUGAAAAGAGGUCCAAUUCACUGAUGACAGGAAUACAAGUCAGAAGUACAGUGAGAUAUCACAGGCAUCCGUUACCAUGGCUACUAAAGCAGAUGAGGACCAGAAUCUGGAGAAUCUGGAACUCUUACACUGAUGGGAAUAAAAAAUGGUGUAGCUGUAUGAUUCCUGAAUAUAGUCAGCUACUCUGUGACCUGGCAAUUCCAUGCCUAGGCAAUUCCAUAAACAUACCCAAGGGACUGAAAGUAGGGGUGGGGGGUUGUUGAGAAGUACCUUAUACCAGUGUUCAUGUCAGCGUGGUCCACAGAGCUGACAUGCAGAUGACACCAGUGUCCAUUGCCAGAUGAAUGGAUGAACAAAAUAUGACACAUGCCUAUGAUGGAAUACUAUUCAGCCUUUAAAAGGAAGAAAGUUCUGGCUCAUGUUAUAACAUGGAUGAACCUUGAGGACACAAUGCCAAGUGAAGUAAAUCCAUCACACAAUGAUACCAUAGGAUUCACUCAUGUGACGUUCCUAGAGAAGUCAAAUCCAUAAAGGAGACAGUAGAAUAGUGUUACUGGAAAUAGGGGGCUACAGAAAAUGAGGAAAUGGGAAGUCAUUAUUUAAUGAGCAUAGAGUUUCAGUUUUUCAAGAUAGAACAAGUUCUAGGGGGUGGGUGGAGAUGAAGGCUGCCCAGGUAUUAGUGUACUGAAUGCCACUGAACUUUCACGUUUAACGAUCGAUAAGAUGACUGGCAGUUGGUGGCUGCUGAGGGAGGAGGAGCCAUUUUUCCUUGGGGGUGUGGCCACUGGUAGGUUGCUGAUGCUCAUCCAGCAGCACUAGUUGGACUCAUGGGCUAUAAAAAAGAGAAAGAGGACGGACAUGAAGGUCUGGAGGGAGGGUGAGGGGGCAGCAGAGGGGGAACAUAACCAACAUACGUCAUAUAUCUGUGUGAAAUGGUCAAGACAUACGUAAAGACAUUUAAAAUGGUUAUUUUAUAUUUAUGUAUUUUACUUUGAAACUUAUUUUUUGCAUGUACAUAUAUGUAUGGUGUCUGUGCCUAUGUGGAUGCAUUUGUGUGUGGAGUCCACAUGUCCUCAGUCAGUUUCUGCCUUAUAUAUUGAAGCAGAGAAUGUCCCUGAACCUGAAACUCUGGCUCAGCUAGCCUAGUUAGCCAGCUUGCCUCAAGGAUCCCAUUUUCACCUUCCAAGAGCACUGUGAUUACAGGUGAGCUGUCAUACCUGCCUAGACUUUAUGUGGGUUCUGGGGACAUGAAUUCCAGUUCUCACAAUUGAAGGGCAAACACUUUAUCCACUGAACCAUCUCUUCAGCCCUUCAUUUAUGGAUUUGACUACAAUAAAAUCUUUUUAAAACCAA